GUAAAUGGGCAGUUUCUUGUACUCAAUGGAUAGAAAAAGUGAAGUUCUAAAGAAAUAGCUAUGAGUUUGGGCGACUGGAACAACGGAAUUAGCCGAAAAUAGGGUUCAAAGUGGGCGAAAUUGCCGAUUUGUAAACAGCGCCGAGGUCGCUAACUUCACGAGAGCAUAAUUCCGUCAGUUUUCCAUCAAAUUUCGUUUUUUUGGUGUCAUUACAAUCGGGAAAAGAUUCUCUAUCAUUUCAUAAGAAAAAAAUAAUUUUUUUUUUUUUUUAAAUUUUGCGACACCAGGAGACACCUCAGGAUUGGGGGUUGCGACAGUCAAAGGGUUAAAAUCUGCAACACUCUACCUGAAAACUCUAGAACUGCAGACACAUUCAUCACCUUCAAAACUACCAUUAGAAAACAUAAGUGUCUCAAUUCUUCAACUUGUCGGUUUUCUAAACCAUUCAUCACAACUGCAUGUAGUGACUGGUCUUCAGGAAUCAAAGAAGUUAAUAAUAAACACAUAACUGAUACUACUGUCACUGACAGUAGUGUCAGUGUAGGUUUACUGAGCAGUGGACGUGGAAAGGAAUUUAAGCAGAGGUGGCUCAUGCGGGGGUUCUGCAGCACCCCCUAUUUUCUUUAACUCUUUGAUUAUAUAAUGUACAAGUAUAAAGAAAGAUUUAAAGGAAAAAAAAAAAAGACAUAUUUAAUGUUAGCGAUAAUACUGAGUGAAAAUAGUGGGUGCUGCAGUUCCACAGCACCCUCGUAUGAGCCGCCACUGAAUUUAAGCCUGACAUCUCUGGGUGGACAUCUUUUCAGUAUAAAUGUUACAAACCUCAACUUUUAUUCACUAUGCACACACACACACACACACAUCUUUACUUUCCUUGGUCCAGGUUUAAUGCUUAGUUUGACAAUAUUAUUAUUACAGGAGGUCCCUGUUUUCAUAGCUGUUAUGUUCCUGACCCUGACUGAUAAGUGAUAGUUGUUGGCGAGUGGAAAAGUUUUUUUUUUUCGAUAUCGAAAGGGUCCGAAAUUCCCGAUAACAUGUUUACACUAUAAUACAGUGGACCCCCGGUUUACGAUAUUAUUUCAUUCCAGAAGUAUGUUCAGGUGCCAGUACUGACCAAAUUUGUUCCCAUAAGGAAUAUUGUGAAGUAGAUUAGUCCAUUUCAGACCCCCAAACAUACACAUACAAACGCACUUACAUAAAUACACUUACAUAAUUGGUCGCAUUGGGAGCUGAUCGUAAACUGGGGGUCCACUGUAUAUAAAGUGCUCAGUACAGCUUGGCAUAAAAAAAUCACAUACAAAAGUAAAAUAAAUACAAAAUACAUAUAAUACUUAAAACAUGACACCGGUAACUCUUCCCUGACACAACUGUUGUGCAAAGAAGCAGAAAAAGCACCAAACAAUAACUAAGUUGAAAACUGCUGAAAAAGUGAGAACAGUAAAGAGGGAGCAGAAAACACAGGGCUUUCCUAUAUUGCUUUCCUUUGUGUUUUGUAAUACAUAGUUCUUAAUCCUGUAAUAUUUCCUUUCCUACCUAAGAGGCCUGGUCUGUGACCGAGCCCAGGGGGAGCCUAGGAGGCCUGGUCUGUGACCGAGCCCAGGGGGAGCCUAGGAGGCCUGGUCUGUGACCGAGCCCAGGGGGAGCCUAGGAGGCAUGGUGUGUGACCGAGCCCAAGGGGAGCCUAGGAGGCCUGGUCUGUGACUGAGCCCAGGGGGAGCCUAGGAGGCCUGAUCUGUGACCGAGCCCAGGGGGAGCCUAGGAGGCCUGGUCUGUGACCGAGCCCAGGGGGAGCCUAAGAGGCCUGGUCUGUGACCGAGCCCAGGGGGAGCCUAGGCCUGGUCUGUGACCAAGCCCAGGGGGAGCCUAGGAGGCUUGGUCUGUGACUGAGCUUAGGGGGAGCCUAGAAGGCCUGGUCUGUGACCAAGCCCAGGGGGAGCCUAGAAGGCCUGGUCUGUGACCGAGCCCAGGGGGAGCCUAGGAGGCCUGGUCUGUGACCGAGCCCAGGGGAGCCUAGGAGGCCUGGUCUGUGACCAAGCCCAGGGGGAGCCUAGGAGGCCUGGUCUGUGACUGAGCCCAGGGGGAGCCUAGGAGGCCUGGUCUGUGACCAAGCCCAGGGGGAGCCUAGGAGGCCUGAUGCCUGGUCUGUGACCGAGCCCAGGGGGAGAUAAUCCCCAUGACCACCAUAUAAUUUCCAACUUUUUUUUAUUCAAUUUUAGUGAAUAAUUAAUGAGGCUUCCAGGCAUUUUUGACAUUGAAAGUCAUCACAGGACACAACUUUAGAUGUAAUAUUGAUGGUAGAGUUACCAACAGUAUGUUAGAUAAAUGGACACAAAGUGCAACUAAUGUGACAUUUUAUUGUGGCAACAUUUUGCUCUCCAGGAGCUUUGUCAAACCCAUUACAAACAAUACAUGGACACAGAGAGUAUAUAUAGGUAUAUUGUGAGGUGCAAAGCAUAAUAUAAUCAUUGUAGGUGGUGGUAGUAGUUGUACUAUUACUACCACAAAUACUACUGCUAUUACCUACAAUGAUUGUAUUAUGCUUUGCACCUCACACUAUACCUAUAUAUACUCUGUGUCCUUGUUUGUAAUGUCUUAACAAAGUUCCUGCAGAGUGAAUUGUUGCUACAAUAAAAUGUUACAUUAGUUGCACUUGUGUCCUUAUAUCAAACACAACCUUAGACCUGUCCACUACAUUAUGUGGUUGUCACUUGACUUCAUAGGUUACCUGAUGCUGUCUCUUACCUCACUGUCAUGUCAUCACCUUUCUUGCCAGUAUGUUGUUCUCAAACCUGUGUUUGUUAGGAUCAUAGUCCCAGAACUCAAAUAUUUUCUAGAUAUUCACAUUUGCUCAUGUCUCUUUCUCGACCACUUUCCUGCGUCUACUGAAGUUGAUGCUAGUGUUGGGCACUUGAUGCAAGGAAUUGGACUUUUUCCUCUCUUAGAUCCUCUCAAGGAAGGUUCCUUGAUGCUGGUGAGGGGCUCUUGAUCUAGGGAAUUGGAUCUGUGCUCCAGUUCCCUGAAUUGAGCCUGAAUACCUUCAGUCCUUCCCCUACAUGCGCUGUAUAAUUCUAUGAGUUUAGCGCUCCCCCUUGAUUGUAAUAAUCCUCUCUUGGAUUGAAUUGGCCUGCCUCUCAUUGACCCUUGUGGAUUUAGCUCUUAGUUAUGAUUAUAACCAGCGCUGUAUAGCCCUUGUGGCUUAGCGCUUCUUUUUGAUUAUAAUAAUAUAAUUGCCUCCCAUUUCCCAGGCACACUAUGACCUCUGUGGGUUUUGUGCUUCACCCUUGGUAACAGAAAAAGUAAAAGUUAAUGAAAAUGGCACCAGGCUGCCAUCUACUGUAGGGAGAAUAAAAAUAAUUUUUUUUUGCAUAAUAGAUGGCACUAAAAAUUUAUAAAAAUGACACUGAUGCCAUCUAUUGCUGGAAUUACAUAUUAACCCUUAAACUGUCCAAACAGAUCCAUGUUCACAUGUGUAGUGCUCCAAAAGUAGAUCUACAUAUUUUCCAAUAUAAAAAAAAGUAGAUCAAAGUUUUUUUUUACACAUUUUCAAAUGUAAAAAAAGAUCUACUUUUUUUACAGUGAAAUGUUGAAAAAAACGUAGAUCUACGUUUGGACAGUUUAAGGGUUAAAUUAGUUCAUUUUUUGCAUAAUAGAUGGUACUAUAAGUUAAUGAGCUGUAUAGCCCUUGUGGCUUAGCGCUUCUUUUUGAUUAUAAUAAUAUAAGUUAAUGAUGGCUUAGCGCUUCUUUUUGAUUAUAAGUUGAUGAAAAUGGGAAGAGAGUAUAAAUAUUUUUAGUUCAUUUUUUUGUGCACUAGAUGGCACUGAAGAUGAGAAGGGCACUUGGAUGCCAUCUAUUGUUGGAAUUAUGAACUAAAUCUUUAGUUCAUUUUUUGCAUAAUGGCACUAAGUUAAUGAAAAUGGGAAGAUAAAUUAGGAGAAACUGAACUAAAUAUUUUUUAGUUCACUUUUUGCUCAAUAGAUGACAAAAAAAAAAUUGAAAAUGGGAGCAUUAAUUAGGGGAGUAAACAAAAUAUUUUUAGUUCAUAAUUCUCUCACUAGAUGGCAUCCAAGUGCCAUUUUCAUUAGUAAUUUUCAGCGCCAUCUAUUAUACAAAAAAUGAACUAAAAAUUUAGUUCAUAAUUCUCACAAUAGAUGGCGUCAAAGUGCCAUUCCUAUUAUUAAUUUUCAGCGCCAUCUGUUGAGCAAAAAAUGAACUAAAAAUAUUUAGUUUAGUCUUCCCUAGUUUAUCAUCCCAUUUUCUAAUUUUUUUUUCGCCAUCUAUUGAGCAAAAAGUGAACUAAAAAAAAUUUAGUUUAGUCUUCCCUAGUUUAUCAUCCCAUUUUCUAAUUUUUUUUUCGCCAUCUAUUGAGCAAAAAGUGAACUAAAAAAAAUUUAGUUUAGUCUCCCCUAGUUUAUCAUCCCAUUUUCUAUUUUUUUUUUUUUCGCCAUCUAUUGAGCAAAAAGUGAACUAAAAAAAAAUUUAGUUUAGUCUCUAGUUUAUCUUCCCAUUUUCAAUAACUUACAGCACCAUCUAUUAAUCAAAAACUGAACUA